rnacentral:rRNA from 1 species
AGCGGCGGACGGGUGAGUAACACGUGGGUAACCUACCCAUAAGACUGGGAUAACUCCGGGAAACCGGGGCUAAUACCGGAUAAUAUUUUGAACUGCAUAGUUCGAAAUUGAAAGGCGGCUUCGGCUGUCACUUAUGGAUGGACCCGCGUCGCAUUAGCUAGUUGGUGAGGUAACGGCUCACCAAGGCGACGAUGCGUAGCCGACCUGAGAGGGUGAUCGGCCACACUGGGACUGAGACACGGCCCAGACUCCUACGGGAGGCAGCAGUAGGGAAUCUUCCGCAAUGGACGAAAGUCUGACGGAGCAACGCCGCGUGAGUGAUGAAGGCUUUCGGGUCGUAAAACUCUGUUGUUAGGGAAGAACAAGUGCUAGUUGAAUAAGCUGGCACCUUGACGGUACCUAACCAGAAAGCCA